rnacentral:rRNA from 1 species
GUGUCAGCCGCCGCGGUAACACGUAGGCACCAAGCGUUGUCCGGAUUUAUUGGGCGUAAAGAGCUCGUAGGCGGUUCGGUAAGUCGGGUGUGAAAACUUUGGGCUCAACCCAAAGCGUGCACUCGAUACUGCCAUGACUAGAGUUCGGUAGGGGAGUGGGGAAUUCCUAGUGUAGCGGUGAAAUGCGCAGAUAUUAGGAGGAACACCGGUGGCGAAGGCGCCACUCUGGGCCGAAACUGACGCUGAGGAGCGAAAGCGUGGGUAGCAAACAGGAUUAGAUACCCCCGUAGUCC